CGGGUGAGUAACACGUGGGUUACCUGCCCCGAUGAUUGGGACAACCCGAGGAAACUCGGGCUAAUACCAAAUGUGCUCCUGGCCGUAAUGGCCAUGAGGAAAGGAAGCUUCGGCCUCCGCAUCGGGAUGGGCCCGCGGCCCAUUAGCUAGUUGGUGGGGUAACGGCCUACCAAGGCGACGAUGGGUAGCUGGUCUGAGAGGACGAUCAGCCACACUGGGACUGAGACACGGCCCAG
rnacentral:rRNA from 1 species